UAUAGAAAAGGCUAAUAUGCAAAGUGUCCCCGCAGGAGUUCGACUGGGAGACCGAGAGUUCUAUCGCUUGCUAAGACGUGCGCUGACCACGGGGGCAGCACGGAACAAAGGAAGGCCCCGGCUGGCAGCUGGAGAGAGAGAGAC